UGUGAACCGAGGCCUUUUCCCUCUGCAGAGAUCUUUCCUCUUUCCCACCUGUUUACUGAAAUGCCUUCACCAGAGGACAAAGCUUGUCAUUCCACAAAGCCAGACUUAUAAUACAAAUCUCACCGAAUGAGUUAAUUCUUGGAUGUGACUACAAGUCACUGGUUUCAAAUCUUCUCUUGCCAGCAGGGAUUGGCAGAGAUGAAGAGAAACAAGAAGCAGAAAUACAGGCAACACAGAGGUGGUUGUGUCCACUUAGCUAUUUAUCCCAGAAAUAACACCAUGCUUUGCCAUGCCUAGUAUAGACAUGGCUACAGUGACAAUCCAGGUGAAAGAUACAGGUUUUCAUGUGAUUCCUUAACAAAGAGAAGAUUGUUAACUAUGAUUGCCAUCUACCUAUAGCCAACCUAGAAGACUUACCUCAGUUUACAAGGCAGAGCUUUCAUUCUUGUUGCCCAGGCUGGAGUGCAAUGGCGCAAUCUCGGCUCACUGCAAUCUCUGCCUCUUGGAUUCAAGCGAUUCUCCUGCCUCAGUCUCCCAAGUAGCUGGGAUUACAGGCAUGUGGCCCAGCUAAUUUUUUAUAUUUAGUAGAGACAGGGUUUCACCAUGUUGUUCAGGCUGGACUCGAACUCCUGACCUCAAGCGAUCCACCUAACUUGGCAUCCCAAAGUGCUGGGAUUACAGGCAUGAGCCACUGUGCCAGCCCAACCUCUUUCACUCUCUUACUUGCCCAGGGGAAGUCAGCUGCCAUGUUUCAUCCUGCCCUAUGACGUCCACAUAGCAAAGAAUUGAGACAAGCCUCCAACCAACAGCCAGAAAUUAACUAAGGCCUUCAUUCCAACAGGCUGCAAGAAACUAAAUCCUUCCAACAACUACAUAAGUGAGCCUGGAAAUGAAUCCUCCCCUAGUCAAGCCUUCAGAUGAGACUGUUGCUCUAGGUGAUGUGGUGCCUGUAAUCACGUGACGUUGAACAAGAAAAAUACCCAGAUAAACCAUGCCCGGAUUCCUAACCCAAAGAAUUUGUGAAAAAAAUCAAUAUUUGUAUUUUAAGCCAUCAACUUCUCAGGUGAUUUGAUACACACCAAUACAUAACUAAGACAAGUGCCUUUUGAACUCCUUUUCCCUUAAAAUCCCAGAGGAUUUAACAUGACUUUCAAAAUUAUAAAAAAUAAAUUUUUAUUUCAAUAUUUUAUUUAAAUUUGGGGGGUGGUAGGGAUAGAGUCUCACUGUCACCUAGGCUGGCGUGCAGCGGCACUAUCUCAGCACACUGCAACAUUUGUCUCCCAAGUUCAAGCAAUUCUCCUGCCUCAGCCUCCUGAGUAGCUGGGAUUACAAGCCUGAGGCACCAGGCCUGGCUAAUUUUUGUAUUUUUAGUAGAGACGAGGUUUCACCAUGUUGGGCAGGCUGGUCUUGAACUCCUGACCUCAAGUGAUCCACCCACCUCAGCCUCCCAAAGUGCUGGGAUUACAGGCGUGAGCCACCGCACCCAGCCUUUUAUUUAAUUGUUAAUGGAAUUCAAAACAUCAGACAAGCUACAGCCUCCUUGUUUUCUGUUACUUAUUCUAAUGCUAAAAUAAAAACAAGCAUUAAGACAUUCUGGAUUUUGUAACUCAGAAGCUUCUGGGGUUUUUUAAAAUUAAUAUUAUAAUUUAAGGAUUACGUGAUAUAGUGGGAUUUUUAAAUACCACAUUAACAAUAUAUCUCUCUGGUAAGCACCCAUAAGGUUUCUUUGAGGACUGCAGCAUUUUAGAGUCUCUAGAUAACAUCUAAAACAUCAGUUUGAAUUAAGCAAGCUGAGACUUAGAGGGGUUAAAAGAUUCUCCUGUGGUCCUAUUAUAGAAUUAGCACGUGGCAGAGCUCAGACAGAAACCUACACUUUCUGAUUCCAGAGCAUUGCUCAUUCUAUCUCACUACUUUGAGAAACCAAGAAAGCAUGGCCAGCUGUAAUAAUCUUGUCCAUUUUACCCAAAUAAAGAUGGAACAUUAUUGGAGAAAAAUUAAAAUGCCCUACAGCAGCACAACGAUCCCUGGUUUGUUGUCAUCAUUUUCAACUUGCAGUCUGC
rnacentral:lncRNA from 1 species